GUGAAAUCUGUUGAUUGUCGAGUGCCAGAUAAACACAGUGACAGCGAUGGAGAGAAAAAGGUUUAAACCGUCAGGUGCCCAAUAUAGGAACAAAUAAAAGUAGAAGACGAGAAAAGAGCAAAAGAUAAAGACUUCUGCAUUAUAAAAGUUUCUGAGUUUGCUCUGUGAGUGACAUCUGUCGUCACGUCCUGAUCGGCUGUCAGCAUCAAUAUGACUUUCACCUUCACUUCAGUGUUUCAUUAGUCUUAUAAAAACUGUUAAUAACAAGAUUACUACACAGAUUUUGUUCUCAAUAAUUCAUCUGAUUCGUUUUUAUGUACAGUAUAUAACAUAAAACCAUCAAACUCAAAGUUUAGUGCUUUGUUCAUCUGAAGCAGUUUCUGGAAGUGUGUUGGUGUGUGUUGUAAUACCAUGAGCUCUCCUCUUUGUUGCUCAUAAUUAAAUCUCUUUAUUACAGUAUA